rnacentral:rRNA from 1 species
CGAUGAUCGGUACGGGUUGUGAGAGCAAGGGCCCGGAGAUGGAACCUGAGACAAGGUUCCAGACCCUACGGGGUGCAGCAGGCGCGAAACCUCCGCAAUGUACGAAAGUGCGACGGGGGGAUCCCAAGUGUUAUGCUUUUUUGUAUGACUUUUCAUUAGUGUAAAAAGCUUUUAGAAUAAGAGCUGGGCAAGACCGGUGCCAGCCGCCGCGGUAACACCGGCAGCUCGAGUGGUAGCUGUUUUUAUUGGGCCUAAAGCGUUCGUAGCCGGUUUGAUAAGUCUUUGGUGAAAGCUUGUAGCUUAACUAUAAGAAUUGCUGGAGAUACUAUUAGACUUGAAGUCGGGAGAGGUUAGAGGUACUACCGGGGUAGGGGUGAAAUCCUAUAAUCCUGGGAGGACCACCUGUGGCGAAGGCGUCUAACUGGAACGAUCUUGACGGUGAGUAACGAAAGCCAGGGGCGCGAACCGGAUUAGAUACCCGGGUAGUCCUGGCCGUAAACGAUGUGGACUUGGUGUUGGAAUGGCUUUGAGUUGUUCCGGUGCCGAAGGGAAGCUGUUAAGUCCACCGCCUGGGAAGUACGGUCGCAAGACUGAAACUUAA